CCCGGUUGCUUUCCCUCCAACAAGCUGAAGGCUGACGCCAGCCAAAGAGUCGGAGCUUCCCCCGAAGGUCACGUGCGUGAGGCCUGAAGCACGUGAGGACAUUGCCAGCUCAGCAGCAGCCCAUCGAGGACUUUCCUUUCCUCCCCCCCCACGCAGAUUAACGCUCACAUAUUGUCGUUUCUUAUGGCAGCCAACGUUCUCCCCUCCGAUUUGGUCCAUGAAUUUCAUCUGAAACUCUGGAAAUGGAAGAGGGGCCUGCAGUUCUCUACGUUUAGGGUUCGCAAAUCGGGUUUGGAAGUCAGGAUUGCUUGCGAAAGUCCACUACUUUAUGCUGUCGACAAGAACAAGGAAAUGUCAGUUUGUUUCUUCAUUGCUUGAUGAGAAAUCUGGUCGAAGGUUCUACGAGGAAGUGUAAGGGUGAGAAGUGUUAAAACAUUUCCUAGUCCGAAAAUUGUAUGAACAAUGAGAUUGUUCACAGGACGCAGCUGGAAACUAUACACUUUAAAUCAGCUACAGCAAGAAAAAUUCCUAAAACUAAUUUUCCUGUAACCUUCCGACUAUUUUGACCUAAUUCUUUUUGGGUUAACAUAAACAUCUUACCCUCUGCAGCUACUCAUUCAUGUACAACUGAUCCCGAGAACCCCCCCGAUGGACAGUGGCAUGACCCUAUGAUCCAACUCCUAGGAAACGGUUCACGGGAGGCCCAAGGCCGAGAACUCAAGCGCCACUUGAUGACCAAAGAGGACAUUUCCUUUCUAACAAUCAAAGCUGAACUCUGCAGGAAUCGCCAUCGUGUAGAGCCUUUCUGCACCUCCAGGACAAGUAUUGCUCGAAUCUCGGCAACCUCUGAGGCCAUGCCAUGGCACUGAACCACAUUUUGAUGUUGAGGUACAUCACAGAAUAGAGGGACAGAAGGAUAAGUCGGGCAUCUUAGAUAUUUGUCAUGAAAAAAAA